rnacentral:rRNA from 1 species
UACGUAGGCAGCAAGCGUUGUUCGGAAUUACUGGGCGUAAAGAGUGUGUAAGCGGUGCUCUAAGUCUGUCGUGAAAUCUCCCGGCUUAACUGGGAGGGUGCGGCGGAAACUGGAAUGCUAGAGGGUGGGAGAGGAAAGCGGAAUUCCUGGUGUAGCGGUGAAAUGCGUAGAUAUCAGGAGGAACACCAGUGGCGAAGGCGACUUCCUGGCCUGUUCUUGACGCUGAGGCGCGAAAGCUAGGGGAGCAAACGGG